GAUGAACGCUGGCGGCGUGCCUAAUACAUGCAAGUCGAGCGAACGGACGAGAAGCUUGCUUUUCUGAUGUUAGCGGCGGACGGGUGAGUAACACGUGGAUAACCUACCUAUAAGACUGGGAUAACUUCGGGAAACCGGAGCUAAUACCGGAUAAUAUUUUGAACCGCAUGGUUCAAAAGUGAAAGACGGUCUUGCUGUCACUUAUAGAUGGAUCCGCGCUGCAUUAGCUAGUUGGUAAGGUAACGGCUUACCAAGGCAACGAUGCAUAGCCGACCUGAGAGGGGGAAGGGCCAAAUUGGAAUGGAGACACGGCUCAGGCCUCGAGGGGGGGCGGAAUUUGGGAUGUUUACGAAAGGGGGGAAGCCCUGACGGGGAAAAGCUGGUGGAGAGAUGAGAGUGUUGGGGUGAGAAAACCUUUUUAUUAGGGAAAAAAAAAGUUAGAAUUAACAGGGCACAUUUUGAAGGUACUUAUGCAGAAAGCCAGGGGAAACUAGGG
rnacentral:rRNA from 1 species